CUACGGGUUGCAGCAGUGAGGAAUUUUGCGCAAUGGGCGAAAGCCUGACGCAGCAACGCCGCGUGAGUGAUGAAGGCCUUCGGGUCGUAAAGCUCUGUCAAGUGGGAAGAACCUAUGUAAUGUUAAUAUCAUUAUAUACUGACGGUACCACUGAAGGAAGCACCGGCUAACUCCGUGCCAGCAGCCGCGGUAAUACGGGGGGUGCAAGCGUUAUUCGGAAUCAUUGGGCGUAAAGGGCACGUAGGCGGCCUGGUAAGUCAGAUGUGAAAGCCCGGGGCUUAACCCCGGAAGUGCAUUUGAUACUGGCAGGCUUGAGUAUGGGAGAGGGAAGUGGAAUUCCUGGUGUAGAGGUGAAAUCCGUAGAUAUCAGGAGGAACACCGGUGGCGAAGGCGACUUCCUGGACCAAUACUGACGCUGAGGUGCGAAGGCGUGGGUAGCAAACAGGAUUAGAUACCCCUGUAGUC
rnacentral:rRNA from 1 species